UUGAACGCUGGCGGUAUGCUUAACACAUGCAAGUCGAACGGAAACGAUACUAGCUUGCUAGUAGGCGUCGAGUGGCGGACGGGUGAGUAACGCGUAGGAAUCUGCCUGAUAGUGGGGGAUAGCCCGAAGAAAUUCGGAUUAAUACCGCAUAAUCUAUUCGUAGUAAAGUGGGGGACUUUCGAGCCUCACGCUAUCAGAUGAGCCUGCGUAAGAUUAGCUAGUUGGUAGGGUAAAAGCCUACCAAGGCAACGAUCUUUAGCUGGUCUGAGAGGAUGAUCAGCCACAUCGGGACUGAGACACGGCCCGAACUCCUACGGGAGGCAGCAGUGGGGAAUAUUGGACAAUGGGGGCAACCCUGAUCCAGCAAUACCGCGUGUGUGAAGAAGGCCUGAGGGUUGUAAAGCACUUUCAAUUGUGAAGAAAAGUUAACGGUUAAUAACCGUUAGCCUUGACGUUAACUUUAGAAGAAGCACCGGCUAACUCCGUGCCAGCAGCCGCGGUAAUACGGAGGGUGCAAGCGUUAAUCGGAAUUACUGGGCGUAAAGCGUGCGUAGGCGGUUUAUUAAGUCAGAUGUGAAAGCCCCGGGCUUAACCUGGGAACUGCAUUUGAAACUGGUCAACUAGAGUAUGGUAGAGGAAAGUGGAAUUUCUGGUGUAGCGGUGAAAUGCGUAGAUAUCAGAAAGGAACACCAAUGGCGAAGGCAGCUUUCUGGACCAAUACUGACGCUGAGGUACGAAAGCGUGGGUAGCAAACAGGAUUAGAUACCCUGGUAGUCCACGCCGUAAACGAUGAUAACUAGCCGUUGGAGGGAUUUACCCUUUAGUGGCGAAGCUAACGCGUUAAGUUAUCCGCCUGGGGAGUACGGCCGCAAGGUUAAAACUCAAAGGAAUUGACGGGGACCCGCACAAGCGGUGGAGCAUGUGGUUUAAUUCGAUGCAACGCGAAGAACCUUACCUGGUCUUGACAUCCUGCGAACUUUCUAGAAAUAGAUUGGUGCCUUCGGGAACGCAGUGACAGGUGCUGCAUGGCUGUCGUCAGCUCGUGUCGUGAGAUGUUGGGUUAAGUCCCGUAACGAGCGCAACCCCUAUCCUUAUUUGCCAGCACGUCAUGGUGGGAACUAUAAGGAGACUGCCGGUGAUAAACCGGAGGAAGGCGGGGACGACGUCAAGUCAUCAUGGCCCUUACGACCAGGGCUACACACGUGCUACAAUGGGAAGGACAAAGAGCCGCGAAGCCGCGAGGUGUAGCUAAUCUCAGAAACCUUUUCGUAGUCCGGAUUGGAGUCUGCAACUCGACUCCAUGAAGUCGGAAUCGCUAGUAAUCGUAGAUCAGAAUGCUACGGUGAAUACGUUCCCGGGUCUUGUACACACCGCCCG
rnacentral:rRNA from 1 species